GAUUUCUAUAAUCACUUCUUUAGUUGUUUAAGUAAUAUAAUGUUUUAAUUAUUAAGUUCAUAUGAAGUUGAGGUCAAAUCAAUAGAUUAUUUUGAUAAAUGCACGAAUGGGUCGAAUGAUUCAUAGAUGAAUAACAAGCCGAAUACGUAUAAGUUAAGAAAUUCCUUAACUCGGAUGUUGGACUUCAAGAUCACAUGAUAGAAUAUUAAAUUACAAUCAUAUAGGAAGUAACGUGACGCAAAACGGAUGAAAAAUGAGAGAGUUAUGUCCGUUUCGGUAAGGAUUAAUGGCUAGGAAAAAGUGCAGAGUUGACACGGCCGGGUGGUGAACUGACACGGCCGGGUGAAGGUUCUAUCAAAAAUAUUAUUUAUGUGAUUUAUGCACCGUAGGCUUCGGUAUAUUAUCCGUGAACUACGACGGGCCUCCCAAACAUGAUUUCGAGUGUUUCCUUGACGAUUAUAAGUUGUAAACCCAAGUCUAAGCCUCAUGUAAUUUAUAUAAGAGUGUGAUAGAUGUAUGUAAUGAAGUUGGACAUGUAUUACAUGUAAAUGUAUACAAAAAUACGUACGGAACACGUAGGUAUGAAUACAUGAUUGUAGGUAUGAUUAAAUGUAUAUUAGGUAUGUAGAUGUGUAUGAUUGUAAGUUUGUAUGUGUGCAAGUAUGUGCGAAUGCAUGAUUUGGAUGCAUUUGAGAAUUAGCGUUACUAAUAAUGCCCUUGGGUUUGGAAUAUAAGUUAAUUGGAUGCAUUUAAAUGGUUGACGUUCUUUUUAUGAAGAUGUAGUAAAUGAAUAUGUUGAGAUUACGGGUUUGGCUAACCAAGUUAUUAUUGAGUAUGUUUGAAAGUGCAGGUUAUGAAUGUCGGACUUUCGAAGUGUUGAUAUAAUAAUGAAACGGUUGAAUGUUGAAAGGAUAAUCGGAUUGAAGUAACUUAUGCGGUUAGAAUAUGCUAUGGACGUUUUAGUUUAUACAACAUUUUAUGUUUGGUCGUCAUCAUCUACCAACGGGUAAAUCCUCAAUUCAGGCGACUUGGAGAAUCGGAGCGAGCGCGUGUUCAUGUUAUGUCAUACCAAACGCUUCCGCUAGCUUGUUCAAAUGUUUUUAGUCCAAAAUUUGUUGUUUUGGUUCUUAGUAGUAUUUUGUCGAAUGAAUCGUAGAAUUGUAUCUAGUUUGUUUAUGUUUAAAACAGGGGUAUGCUUGUUUUAUGGACGGGUCAUGCCCAAUUUUUGUUAAAUUAAUGCACCUGCGUUAUUGAUAUUA